UACGUAGGGUGCGAGCGUUGUCCGGAAUUACUGGGCGUAAAGAGCUCGUAGGUGGUUUGUCGCGUUGUCCGUGAAAACUCACAACUCAAUUGUGGGCGUGCGGGCGAUACGGGCAGACUGGAGUACUGCAGUGGAGACUGGAAUUCCUGGUGUAGCGGUGGAAUGCGCAGAUAUCAGGAGGAACACCGGUGGCGAAGGCGGGUCUCUGGGCAGUAACUGACGCUGAGGAGCGAAAGCGUGGGGAGCGAACAGG
rnacentral:rRNA from 1 species